rnacentral:rRNA from 1 species
GUCUUAAUGAAUUUAAUAUUAAGUCCAAUCUGCCCACUGAUUUUUUAAAUGGCUGCAGUAUUUAUGACUGUACUAAGGUAGCAUAAUAAUUUGUUUUUUAAUUAAAAACUAGAAUGAAAGAUUAAAUGAAAUAUAAACUGUUUCAAUUAAAUUUAUUGAAUUUUUUAUUUAAGUAAAAAAACUUAAAUAAAUUUUAAAGACGAUAAGACCCUAUAGAAUUUUAUUUAAUUUUAUAAAAAAGUUAUAAAAUUAAAUUUUGUUGGGGUAACAUUAAAAUUUAAAAAAUUUUUUUUAAAAAUAACAUUUAUUUAUGAAUAUAUUAUCUUAAUUUUUAAACUAAAAAAAUUAAUUACCUUAGGGAUAACAGCAUAAUUUUUUUUGAGAGUUCACAUUUAUAAAAAAGAUUAU